rnacentral:tRNA from 1 species
CCCGUUGUAGCUCAACCUGGCAGAGCACCUGACUGUAGCCUUUAAGGCGCCCGCACGAAGAAUGAAUGCGCGGCCAGUCAGAGGCAGUAAUCAGGGUGUUGGGAGUUCAAAUCUCCCCAACGGGA